rnacentral:rRNA from 1 species
CACGUAGGGUGCAAGCGUUGUCCGGAAUUAUUGGGCGUAAAGAGCUCGUAGGCGGUCUGUCGCGUCGGCUGUGAAAACUCGGGGCUCAACUCCGAGCUUGCAGUCGAUACGGGCAGGCUAGAGUUCGGCAGGGGAGACUGGAAUUCCUGGUGUAGCGGUGAAAUGCGCAGAUAUCAGGAGGAACACCGGUGGCGAAGGCGGGUCUCUGGGCCGAUACUGACGCUGAGGAGCGAAAGCGUGGGGAGCGAACAGG